UACGUAGGGUGCGAGCGUUGUCCGGAAUUAUUGGGCGUAAAGGGCUCGUAGGCGGUCUGUUGCGUCAGGAGUGAAAACUCGGGGCUUAACCCCGAGCCUGCUUCUGAUACGGGCAGACUAGAGGUAUGCAGGGGAGAACGGAAUUCCUGGUGUAGCGGUGAAAUGCGCAGAUAUCAGGAGGAACACCGGUGGCGAAGGCGGUUCUCUGGGCAUUAACUGACGCUGAGGAGCGAAAGCCAGGGGAGCAAACGGG
rnacentral:rRNA from 1 species